rnacentral:lncRNA from 1 species
UCGCGCAAAGUCUAAAACAAUUAUAUAUAAAAAAUUCCCGCGUCCCAUUUUUGGUACCCGCCCAAAUUUUUGCGCGACGAACAAUAUAUAUUGGUCGCUCAAAGUUUUGCGCGACGAAACAUAUUGGUCUCGCAAACUUUUGCGCGACGAAUAUAGGAGUAUUGGUCGCGCAAAGUCUAAAAAAAAUUUUUUUAAAAAA